rnacentral:rRNA from 1 species
AUACGAACUGUGCAAACGUUAUUCGGAAUCACUGGGCUUAAAGGGUGCGUAGGCGGGUUUGAAGGUCUGAUGUGAAAGCCCACGGCUCAACCGUGGAAUUGCGUUGGAAACCACAAGCCUUGAGGGAGUCAGAGGUGAGCGGAACUAAUGGUGGAGCGGUGAAAUGCGUUGAUAUCAUUAGGAACACCGGUGGCGAAAGCGGCUCACUGGGACUCUUCUGACGCUGAGGCACGAAAGCUAGGGGAGCGAACGGGAUUAGAAACCCGAGUAGUCC